rnacentral:rRNA from 1 species
GGUUAAGCGACUAAGCGUACACGGUGGAUGCCCUGGCAGUCAGAGGCGAUGAAGGACGUGCUAAUCUGCGAAAAGCGUCGGUAAGGUGAUAUGAACCGUUACAGCCGGCGAUGUCCGAAUGGGGAAACCCAGUGUGAUUCGUCACACUAUCGUUAACUGAAUACAUAGGUUAACGAGGCGAACCGGGGGAACUGAAACAUCUAAGUACCCCGAGGAAAAGAAAUCAACCGAGAUUCCCCAGUAGCGGCGAGCGAACGGGGAGCAGCCCAGAGUCUGAAUCAGCUUGUGUGUUAGUGGAACGGUCUGGAAAGUCCGACGGUACAGGGUGAUAGUCCCGUACACCAAAAUGCACAGGCUGUGAACUCGAAGAGUAGGGCGGGACACGUGGUAUCCUGUCUGAAUAUGGGGGACCAUCCUCCAAGGCUAAAUACUCCUGACUGACCGAUAGUGAACCAGUACCGUGAGGGAAAGGCGAAAAGAACCCCGGCGAGGGGAGUGAAAAAGAACCUGAAACCGUGUACGUACAAGCAGUGGGAGCACCUUCGGGUGUGACUGCGUACCUUUUGUAUAAUGGGUCAGCGACUUAUAUUCUGUAGCAAGGUUAACCGUAUAGGGGAGCCGCAGGGAAACCGAGUCUUAACUGGGCGUUAAGUUGCAGGGUAUAGACCCGAAACCCGGUGAUCUAGCCAUGGGCAGGUUGAAGGUUGGGUAACACUAACUGGAGGACCGAACCGACUAAUGUUGAAAAAUUAGCGGAUGACUUGUGGCUGGGGGUGAAAGGCCAAUCAAACCGGGAGAUAGCUGGUUCUCCCCGAAAGCUAUUUAGGUAGCGCCUCGUGAAUUCAUCUUCGGGGUAGAGCACUGUUUCGGCUAGGGGGUCAUCCCGACUUACCAACCCGAUGCAAACUACGAAUACCGAAGAAUGUUAUCACGGGAGACACACGGCGGGUGCUAACGUCCGUCGUGAAGAGGGAAACAACCCAGACCGCCAGCUAAGGUCCCAAAGUCAUGGUUAAGUGGGAAACGAUGUGGGAAGGCACAGACAGCCAGGAUGUUGGCUUAGAAGCAGCCAUCAUUUAAAGAAAGCGUAAUAGCUCACUGGUCGAGUCGGCCUGCGCGGAAGAUGUAACGGGGCUAAACCAUGCACCGAAGCUGCGGCAGCGACACUAUGUGUUGUUGGGUAGGGGAGCGUUCUGUAAGCCUGCGAAGGUGACCUGUGAGGGUUGCUGGAGGUAUCAGAAGUGCGAAUGCUGACAUAAGUAACGAUAAAGCGGGUGAAAAGCCCGCUCGCCGGAAGACCAAGGGUUCCUGUCCAACGUUAAUCGGGGCAGGGUGAGUCGACCCCUAAGGCGAGGCCGAAAGGCGUAGUCGAUGGGAAACAGGUUAAUAUUCCUGUACUUGGUGUUACUGCGAAGGGGGGACGGAGAAGGCUAUGUUAGCCGGGCGACGGUUGUCCCGGUUUAAGCAUGUAGGCUGGUUGUCCAGGCAAAUCCGGAUAAUCAAGGCUGAGGUGUGAUGACGAGGCACUACGGUGCUGAAGUAACAAAUGCCCUGCUUCCAGGAAAAGCCUCUAAGCAUCAGGUAACAUCAAAUCGUACCCCAAACCGACACAGGUGGUCAGGUAGAGAAUACCAAGGCGCUUGAGAGAACUCGGGUGAAGGAACUAGGCAAAAUGGUGCCGUAACUUCGGGAGAAGGCACGCUGGUGUGUAGGUGAAGUCCCUGCGGAUGGAGCUGAGACCAGUCGAAGAUACCAGCUGGCUGCAACUGUUUAUUAAAAACACAGCACUGUGCAAACACGAAAGUGGACGUAUACGGUGUGACGCCUGCCCGGUGCCGGAAGGUUAAUUGAUGGGGUUAUCCGUAAGGAGAAGCUCUUGAUCGAAGCCCCGGUAAACGGCGGCCGUAACUAUAACGGUCCUAAGGUAGCGAAAUUCCUUGUCGGGUAAGUUCCGACCUGCACGAAUGGCGUAAUGAUGGCCAGGCUGUCUCCACCCGAGACUCAGUGAAAUUGAACUCGCUGUGAAGAUGCAGUGUACCCGCGGCAAGACGGAAAGACCCCGUGAACCUUUACUAUAGCUUGACACUGAACAUUGAGCCUUGAUGUGUAGGAUAGGUGGGAGGCUUUGAAGCGUGGACGCCAGUCUGCGUGGAGCCAACCUUGAAAUACCACCCUUUAAUGUUUGAUGUUCUAACGUUGGCCCCUUACCGGGGUUGCGGACAGUGUCUGGUGGGUAGUUUGACUGGGGCGGUCUCCUCCCAAAGCGUAACGGAGGAGCACGAAGGUUAGCUAAUCCUGGUCGGACAUCAGGAGGUUAGUGCAAUGGCAUAAGCUAGCUUGACUGCGAGCGUGACGGCGCGAGCAGGUGCGAAAGCAGGUCAUAGUGAUCCGGUGGUUCUGAAUGGAAGGGCCAUCGCUCAACGGAUAAAAGGUACUCCGGGGAUAACAGGCUGAUACCGCCCAAGAGUUCAUAUCGACGGCGGUGUUUGGCACCUCGAUGUCGGCUCAUCACAUCCUGGGGCUGAAGUAGGUCCCAAGGGUAUGGCUGUUCGCCAUUUAAAGUGGUACGCGAGCUGGGUUUAGAACGUCGUGAGACAGUUCGGUCCCUAUCUGCCGUGGGCGCUGGAGAAUUGAGGGGGGCUGCUCCUAGUACGAGAGGACCGGAGUGGACGCAUCACUGGUGUUCGGGUUGUCAUGCCAAUGGCACUGCCCGGUAGCUAAAUGCGGAAGAGAUAAGUGCUGAAAGCAUCUAAGCACGAAACUUGCCCCGAGAUGAGUUCUCCCUGAGACUUUAAGUCUCCUGAAGGAACGUUAAAGACGAUGACGUUGAUAGGCCGGGUGUGUAAGCGCAGCGAUGCGUUGAGCUAACCGGUACUAAUGAACCGUGAGGCUUAACCUU